CUCUCCGUUUGCCGAUGCUAGUAAGAUACAUACCGAAACAUGGGUAUAAACAAAUAUAAAUAUGACAAAUAUCUUUGCGCAACAAUGUUUCCCAGUUUGUCCCGGGCUUUAAGGGAUAUUUAUAUAAACUCCUAGGAAAACCUCUGAUUGAAUCAUUAAUCCAUCGCUUUUAAAAGUAUAUUCUAUAGAUACCAAUCUUGGAUUUGGACCAACUUUUCCAUUCGUUCCAACCAUCUUUUCCAACCGACGAAACCGGACUGCACAAGUGAUGGACGUUUAACUCUGAAAGAAACAUCUCCCAGGCACCAACUCGAAAUUCGUC